ACAAGUCUCAUUCAUUCCUUUUUUUUGCAGAUGAGGAAACAGACUUUGAGAGGUAAAAUAACACGACGGAAUCUAUGCACUACCUGAUGGCUGAGCUGGGACUUAUCCCCAGGUCCAGUGGCCUCUAGAGCACAGGUGUGUUACUACCACCCCAUUCUGCCCAAGUGAAGCAAGCAGCAGAGAAAUAAUAUGCAGGUUUGCUUUCCAAGGAACCCAAAUGAAGAUAGAAUGACUCAAAGAGAAGAUGUAUAGAAGUACUUACAGCAUGUGGCACAUGGUCUCUGUGCCUGGGCACCAAGCAGACUGUGGUAUCAAUUACAGUGGACCCUGUGCAUCCCUCAGCCAUCCAGGCAGGUGCAGACACUCCUCAGGCUAGGGAUAGCCUCAGGAGACUGACUCAGCCAGAAGGUUGCCCUGGAGAAGACCAGGUAGUCCCUGUUGGCAUGCUCAGAGGACGUGUAGAUCUCUCAUGGAUGGUCAGGACAAUCACCAGUACCAGGAUAUCUGGAUCAGGUAAAAGAUAUUCCAAGAGGAGGUUCAGUUCAGAAGGCAAAUGGGGCAGCAAUCAGCACUGAGAUCCCUGUUCAUACACAAUGGGUAAGAGACCCAGGGACCUAAUUCAGCCCAAGGGAAUGGGUUCAGGUGGCGUCUGGGUGAGAAUCAGGGCCAGC
rnacentral:lncRNA from 1 species